rnacentral:rRNA from 1 species
CCUACGGGAGGCAGCAGUAGGGAAUAUUGCGAAAUGGGCGAAAGCCUGACGCAGCAACGCCGCGUGCGGGAAGAAGGCCUUCGGGUUGUAAACCACUUUCAGCAGGAAAGAAAAUGACGGUACCUGCAGAAGAAGGUGUGGCCAACUACGUG